UCAGAUUGAACGCUGGCGGCAGGCUUAACACAUGCAAGUCGAGCGGAGAGAGGUAGCUUGCUACUGAUCUUAGCGGCGGACGGGUGAGUAAUGCUUAGGAAUCUGCCUAUUAGUGGGGGACAACAUUUCGAAAGGAAUGCUAAUACCGCAUACGUCCUACGGGAGAAAGCAGGGGAUCUUCGGACCUUGCGCUAAUAGAUGAGCCUAAGUCGGAUUAGCUAGUUGGUGGGGUAAAGGCCUACCAAGGCGACGAUCUGUAGCGGGUCUGAGAGGAUGAUCCGCCACACUGGGACUGAGACACGGCCCAGACUCCUACGGGAGGCAGCAGUGGGGAAUAUUGGACAAUGGGCGCAAGCCUGAUCCAGCCAUGCCGCGUGUGUGAAGAAGGCCUUAUGGUUGUAAAGCACUUUAAGCGAGGAGGAGGCUACUUUAGAUAAUACCUAGAGAUAGUGGACGUUACUCGCAGAAUAAGCACCGGCUAACUCUGUGCCAGCAGCCGCGGUAAUACAGAGGGUGCAAGCGUUAAUCGGAUUUACUGGGCGUAAAGCGCGCGUAGGCGGCUAAUUAAGUCAAAUGUGAAAUCCCCGAGCUUAACUUGGGAAUUGCAUUCGAUACUGGUUAGCUAGAGUGUGGGAGAGGAUGGUAGAAUUCCAGGUGUAGCGGUGAAAUGCGUAGAGAUCUGGAGGAAUACCGAUGGCGAAGGCAGCCAUCUGGCCUAACACUGACGCUGAGGUGCGAAAGCAUGGGGAGCAAACAGGAUUAGAUACCCUGGUAGUCCAUGCCGUAAACGAUGUCUACUAGCCGUUGGGGCCUUUGAGGCUUUAGUGGCGCAGCUAACGCGAUAAGUAGACCGC
rnacentral:rRNA from 1 species